rnacentral:rRNA from 1 species
UGAGGAAUAUUGGUCAAUGGUCGGGAGACUGAACCAGCCAAGCCGCGUGAGGGAGGAAGGUACAGAGUAUCGUAAACCUCUUUUGUCAGGGAACAAAGGCGGGGACGUGUCCCCGGAUGAGUGUACCUGAAGAAAAGCAUCGGCUAACUCCGUGCC